rnacentral:snRNA from 1 species
GGAUGUGAGGGCGAUCUGGCUGUGACAUCUGUCAGCCCAUUGAUCGCCAGGGUUGAUUCGGCUGGUCUGGUCGGCUGGGCGGGUGUCCCCUUCCUCCCUUGACGCUCCAUGUGCGUCCCUCCUGAAGCUGUGCUCGGUAGAAGAGGAUGACCACCCCCAACAGAGGAGGACCAUUCCUCCGUCCAGGGUGUUCGUGUAGUUGUGCUCCCCUGCUAGAAUCUCCAAACAAGCUCUCAAGGAAACCAAGAUCUUUGCUUAAAGGGAAAAAUGGAAGAUGAUGAUAUUAAAUUAUGUCUUUUUCACCAUAUGGAGAAGUAAAAUUCAU